rnacentral:tRNA from 1 species
GCCGGAAUGGCUCAGUGGUAGAGCAUCUGUCUUGUAAAACCGCGAGGUUAGACGAGCUCAACAGAAGGUCCUGUGUUCGAUCCACAGUUUCGGCA